rnacentral:tRNA from 1 species
GGCUCUGUGGCUCAGUGACAGGGCCUCUGCUUUGCAUGCAGAAGGUCCCAGGUUCAAUUACCGGCAUCUCCA